GCCCAGGCCCAGCUGGGAGCUCUUUGGGGAGCAGAGCACUUGGGGUCCCCUGCACCAUGGCCUGGCCUCUUGUCUGCCUCUUCCUGCUCACUCUCUGCUCAAGUUCCUUCUCCCAGCUUGUGGUGAUUCAGCCUCCCUCUGCCUCUGCAUCCCUGGGAGCCACAGCCAAACUCUCCUGCACCCUGAGCAGUGGGUACACUAAUUACGGUGUUGUUUGGCACCAGCAGAGCCCAGGAAAGGCCCCUCGGUAUAUCAUGUAUGUCAGCAGCAGUGGAGGUGGAAGCAGAGGCGACGGGAUCCCUGAUCGCUUCUCUGGCUCUGCCUCUGGGGCCACCAGAUACUUGUCCAUCAGCAACAUCCAGCCUGAGGAUGAGGCCGAUUAUUACUGUGGAGCAAAUUAUGGUACUGGUGGAUCCACAGUGAUACAUUCAGUGGGGAAGUGA